AUUGGGGAAUAUACUUUGCCUAAUAUACACAUUGUGAGAUAUAUAUAUGUAUAUCUCACAAUGUGUAUAUUAGGCAAAGUUGCAUACA